CUCCUACGGGAGGCAGCAGCAGGGAAUCUUGGGCAAUGGGCGAAAGCCUGACCCAGCGACGCCGCGUGGAGGAAGAAGUCCUUCGGGGCGUAAACUCCUGGACUGGGGGACGAGGAAGGACGGUACCCCAGUAGAAAGGGACGGCUAACUACGUGCCAGCAGCCGCGGUAAAACGUAGGUCCCGAG
rnacentral:rRNA from 1 species